GCUUUAGUAGUUGAAUUACAACAGCGAUUUUUCGGGUCGCAGGUUUUGGUUGUUGGCCAAAUUGAAGUA
rnacentral:tRNA from 1 species